CAGCCUUACCUUCCCAAGGGUGAAGACUUCUUGUUCUUCAAGCCAUUUUCCAGUAAAGUUGAAAGUUGCAUUCAUGUUUACACUCAUGAAUGUGUAGGUUACAGGCGUAUACACUUGAGAGGUGGGAAUGGUGGGGAAGAUAAACAUCUCAUUAUUCUUUUGCACUCCACAGAUUCCCUACUACCCAGAAAGGGCACUUCUGCUCAUACACUGUUACCUGUUAUUCUUCAGAAAGAAUUUCUGAACUAGAGGCAAUACUGCUCGAAGGUGAUGCAGAUGCAUACUGUGUCAGCACAGAAAGACGAGGUGAGAUGCAGGAUGCACAGAAGCAGGAGGAUUUGAGUUGUCUGUGCAGUAUUAGGAGGCUGCUGAGCCUCUUUUGCCCAUCAGCAAUAAUGGAAUUUGGUUCCACACUGAAGAUAAUUGCCUCAAGUCAUUCUGCAGCCACAGGGAAGGUGCUGUAACUAAAGGGCUACCAGCUGCUUUGGGGUCAGCUCCCUCACAUUUCAGUCUGUAACUGGAGAAGAUGAAUCCCCUCUGCUGUGUGAGAGGUGAGGAAAUGGGAGAAAGAGUUGGCCUCUGGGAAGUAUUUGAAGAAUCAAAGGCCUUCUCAUUCUAACUUUACAGAAACAGAAUUUACAUUUUGUGGUUCUUUACAUUACCAAAAUAGCCUUCCUAUAAUGAUGAAGCCUGCUUGGACACAUACAAUAGCCAAA
rnacentral:lncRNA from 1 species